UACAGAGGGGGCUAGCGUUGUUCGGAAUUACUGGGCGUAAAGGGCGCGUAGGCGGGCUGUCAAGUCUGGGGUGAAAUCCCGCGGCUCAACCGUGGAACUGCCUCAGAUACUGACGGCCUCGAGGGAGAUAGGGGCGAGCGGAACUAAUGGUGGAGCGGUGAAAUGCGUUGAUAUCAUUAGGAACUCCGGUGGCGAAGGCGGCUCGCUGGAUCUUUUCUGACGCUGAGGCGCGAAAGCUAGGGGAGCAAACGGG
rnacentral:rRNA from 1 species